rnacentral:rRNA from 1 species
GUAGGUGGCAAGCGUUGUCCGGAAUUAUUGGGCGUAAAGCACGCGCAGGCGGUUCUUUAAGUCUGAUGUGAAAGCCCACGGCUCAACCGUGGAGGGUCAUUGGAAACUGGAGAACUUGAGUACAGAAGAGGAAAGCGGAAUUCCACGUGUAGCGGUGAAAUGCGUAGAGAUGUGGAGGAACACCAGUGGCGAAGGCGGCUUUCUGGUCUGUAACUGACGCUGAGGCGCGAAAGCGUGGGGAGCAAACAGGAUUAGAUACCCUGGUAGUCCACGCCGUAAACGAUGAGUGCUAAGUGUUAGGGGGUUUCCGCCCCCCUUAGUGCUGCAGCUAACGCAUUAAGCACUCCGCCUGGGAGUACGGCCGCAAGGCUG